rnacentral:rRNA from 1 species
AUUGAACGCUGGCGGCAUGCGUAACACAUGCAAGUCGAACGGUGUUUGGUGCUUGCACCAGACAUAGUGGCGGACGGGUGAGUAAUGCGUAGGAAUCUGUCUUAGAGAGGGGGACAACCCGAGGAAACUUGGGCUAAAACCGCAUAUUCUCGAGAGAGGAAAGCAGGGGACCGGAAACGGCCUUGUGCUCUAAGGUGAGCCUACGUCGGAUUAGCUAGUUGGUAGGGUAAAAGCCUACCAAGGCGAUGAUCUGUAGCUGGUCUGAGAGGACGGACAGCCACACUGGGACUGAGACACGGCCCAGACUCCUACGGGAGGCAGCAGUGGGGAAUAUUGGACAAUGGGGGGAACCCUGAUCCAGCGAUGCCGCGUGUGUGAAGAAGGCCUGCGGGUUGUAAAGCACUUUCAGUGGGAAAGAGAAGCGUCUUGUGAAUAAUGGGACGUGGAGACGUUACUCACAGAAGAAGCACCGGCGAACUCUGUGCCAGCAGCCGCGGUAAU